UCGGUGGCCUAGCGGUAAGGUGUCGGCUCGGAACCGACGAGUUUCCGGGUUCAAAACCCGAUUCCACUGAA